UAAUUCUCAUAUUUUUCCAAAAAAUUAAUUUGAAAAUAAAGGAGCAUAUAUACAACAUCAAUAUGUCUUAGUUUUAACUAAUAAAGGAGCCCGCGCUUCGCAGCGGGUAGCAACUAUAGGAGUAAUUAAUAAUAAAAAAAUAUCAAAUAUUCUUUUGUGUACUUCACUUGCCGCAGUCACUAAAGGUCCCUCACUAUUGGUGCCCGGGAUGGGACCGACGACGCCUUCUCUGGCGAUGGUGACAGCGAAGAUGACAACGAUCUCUUCGACCGCGACAGAGAAGGGAGAUGGGCACACAUUAGUGAGAGAGGGAGGGAGAGAGGCGACGGUGUAAAGAAAAAGAUGAGGGAGAGAGAAUUAAUGAAUUAAUUGGGGAUGAAGAUGUACGGAUUGCAGAUAGCAAAGAAUAAUUUGGAUACAUUACUUAGAAGUCUAGUAGAGGGAAAGAGAAUUAUCAUAAUGGAUUAAUUGGAGAGAAAGAUGUGAGGAUUGUAGAUGGCAGUGAAAUCAUUUAGAUGCAUCAAUUGGAAGUUUGGUAAUGAAACCGUUUAAACGCAUUAAUUAUAUGCAUUAAUUGAAAGUUUAAUGAAGUAAAUGGAAAAAGUCACACCUGGUGAGGGUGAAGGACAACUUGCAAUAGGAAAUGGGAAGGGUCACACGCUAGUGAGGGUGAAGAACAACUUACCACAUGGCAAAAAAUAUUGAGAAUUUAUAUAGGUUGAUAGAUUAAUUGGAGAGAAAGAAGUAAUUAAGGAUUGUAAAUGGCAGUGGAAUUAUUUAGAUGCAUUAAUUGAAAGUUUGGUAAUGAGACCGUUUAGAUGCAAAAAAUGAAAAUUUGAUGAAGAGAAUAGAAAGGAUGACACACUGGUGAGGAUAAAAGACAACUUCCCAUAGGGAAUGGAAAGAGUCACACACUAAUGAGGGCGAAUGACAACUUGCCGCGUGGAAAAAAAAUAUUGGAGAUUCAUAUAGGUUAAUAGAUAGAUUUAGAUGUAUUAAUUAGAUGCAUUAAUUGAAAAUUUGAUAAAGAGAAUGGAAAGGUUGACACACAGAUGAGGAUGAAGGACAACUUGCCAUAAGGAAUAUGAAUGGUCACACACUGAUGAAGGUGAAUAACAACUUGGCAUGUGACAAAAAAUAUUGGGGAUUCAUAU
rnacentral:lncRNA from 1 species